AGUCUGGUUGGCAUCAUGCUAGCAUCUGGAACCUAGUGGCUGAAAAAAGUUAACAUAUAGAGCCAAACAAGUUGUUGACUAAUCAUGAACCUAAAGGCUGGAAUAGUUCAGAUGAAGAGUUGGGGGAGGGGGUCCUCUGUUUUGUAGAUAGUUAGUAGUCCUAUUUCAGUUAUAUUCCAAAAAGCCUAUGACUAUACUAGUUUUUUGUUUUUUUUCCUGAGCCUGACAUCUGAUAUGCAGCUGGAUCCAAGUUAUUGUCUGGGGAGAUGAUGUCAUGGCUGGAAAAAGGACCAGAAAGUUGGAUUAGGGAAGAGAGUAGCUCCCAAAUAUGGGAAAGCAAAUAGAAGACAAAAGCCUUGAAUCUGGGUCCUUGCUCUUAACUAGGAGAAACCAACAGCAAGUCCCUAUACCUGUCCUCGUUAGUAUAGUGAGAUUUUACCACAGGAGAGCCCUCUUACAUCUCUGCAAACCACCUUCCGGUCUUCCUGCCUGGGACAAGCUCCAUGAUGCCACCUGCUAGAUAUAAAGGUGCAGAAAAAAGUAAAAGCUUUGCAUUGGCCGGGAAUCGAACCCGGGCCUCCCGCGUGGCAGGCGAGAAUUCUACCACUGAACCACCAAUGCAGAACUGCAUGCCUCGCCAGCGCCUGCAUUGUUGUCAGUGUGCUUCCGCCCCUCCCGUAGUCUUCGCUCUGUAACUCCGGGAACAUAGGGAUGGGGGUCUGUCGCGGACCUGACUUCCCCAACCUUCGUCACCCCCAAACGUCCCUUGUUUCUGGAAUGACUAAACUGCGUGGACACCGCAGGGUGGAAUUGGAGGGACACGAGGGGCAGGAAUGGGGAAGCUGGGAGAGUGAGGGGGCCAGAAGAUGGGGAGGGGACGGCUGGGUGAUCAGAGGGAAGAGUGGGGUGCUGCUGGGCAGGAGGGCGCUAGUUGUGUGGUCCAGGAUUCGUGGAAUCGGGGUUUGGAGCUUGGGGGUGACAGGGUGGGAGGCAUUGGGGGGGCUGCCGGAAGGGCUUGGG